GCCAAUGAAGAUAUUGAGCACAAGUGCACCCCUGUGAGCUCCAGGCAGAUUGGUUCCGAAGCAGAGGGGCUGUUUCCCUGGUUUGGUUCUUUGGAGUCUCCCCCUGAAAUGGGACUCAGAGGGGAGGCCUGGGGCUGGCCAGAGAUGGGACCGCGCCUGGAGGAAAGGGGAUGACCGGCACAGGCAUUUACUUUUAGAGAGCCCGUCCCAGGGAAGGAGAGCCGGCCUCUCAGCCACCAAGAGCUGCCUCCUCCUGUGCUCUGCAGACAUCCUAAUGCUCUGAGGAAGCGUCCAGCUUUCAGCACCUCCUACGUCCCCGGCAUUCUGCUAGACGCAAGAGCACCUGCUCUCAAGGAGCCGCGCCUUCCCUCUGCAGACACACUACGCGCGGAUAGAUAAAUAAUAAGUAAAUCAAUGGUAGUUCUGGGGAGGGUCCUGUCAUGGACAGCGAGAGCAGGGGAACGUUUCAAGGAAGAGAGUGAUUGGGCGAAGUUCGAGGAAAGCAGAGUCCGAAAUGCCGGUUAUUGAGGAACGCCUUCCAUGCAAGGUGGCUGGGGAGAAUAGACAGGUUGGGGACACGCUGGGCACCUUUUCCGGUGAUUAUCUUAGUUAGUGAGAUCAACAUGACCAUCAGGAUCCAGAAGAUGCUGACAGGCUGGACUCGGGUAGGGAAGACAAAAUGGCAAAAUCAAGUCCUGCAUUUAAGUUCAAAACAGCAACCCCACAUGUACAACAGAGCAGGAGUUCUUGUAGGUAGCAGAUCCUGUGACAAAGUACCACAACUUUUUCAGAGGCUCGGGGUAGUUUAAGUUCAUAUUGUCAGAGUAAACCCAAACCCCAAAUUAAAAGGAUCCCUGACUUCACUGAUGGAAGCAUCUUGGCCACAAGGGGAACAACCAAUAAAGACAUAGAUGUAGAUGUAUGUAGAUCCACUAGUUAUCUACAACUCCAAAUAUGACUUAUAUGCUUAACUAGAACCACACACAUAUAACCAUAUUGUAUAACUACACACGAAAAUAAUGUCAACAUACAAAAUUAGUUCAUUAUAGUCACCUCUACUUGUUUUCCAUCUAUCUAGUUGUAUGGGUCACUCAUUUUAGACACAUCAUUACACACCCAGAUCUAUAUUGUUAUGCACAGGACCAUGCAUGAAAUACAUAUAGGAUAUUUAUUCUUAAAAAGUCGGGUAUAUCAUAUACAUACCUGUAUCACUUUCCUCCCUGUGGCUGUGAAACUUCUAUUAAUGAAUUUGUAGAUCAUAUUUUGUUCUUCUGACAGUCAUAUACACACAUCCACAUAAACACCCAAGUACAUGAUAUACAGCAUUUAAAAGUCUAGAGAACUCUAAUUCUACAGAUGAUAUCCUAGAGAAUUUCAUGCAACAUAUUUUAUUCCUAUACUACUAUCACUUCCCUCUUCUGAUCAUGAUGCUGUUCUUUGGGCAACAAUUUUUUUUAAAUUCCCAACUUGAUUAACCAAACCAUCAUUUCCAUACAAAAAGAAAAAGAAGAUUAUAACCAAAGAGUACAAUAAAUCUCCAUUUUGAUCUUA